rnacentral:rRNA from 1 species
UCUGCCUGGUAGUGGGGGAUAACUGGCCGAAAGUUAAGCUAAUACCGCGUACGUCCUACGGGAGAAAGCAGGGGAUCUUCGGACCUUGCGCUAUCAGAUGAGCCCAAGCCGGAUUAGCUAGUUGGUGGGGUAAAGGCCUACCAAGGCUACGAUCCGUAGCUGGUCUGAGAGGAUGAUCAGCCACACCGGGACUGAGACACGGCCCGGACUCCUACGGGAGGCAGCAGUGGGGAAUAUUGGACAAUGGGGGGAACCCUGAUCCAGCCAUGCCGCGUGUGUGAAGAAGGUCUUCGGAUUGUAAAGCACUUUAAGUUGGGAGGAAGGGCUUUAGGUUAAUACCCUGAAGUCUUGACGUUACCAACAGAAUAAGCACCGGCUAACUUCGUGCCAGCAGCCGCGGUAAUACGAAGGGUGCAAGCGUUAAUCGGAAUUACUGGGCGUAAAGCGCGCGUAGGUGGUUUGUUAAGUUGGAAGUGAAAUCCCCGGGCUUAACCUGGGAAUGGCUUUCAAAACUGGCGAGCUAGAGUACGGUAGAGGGUAGUGGAAUUUCCUGUGUAGCGGUGAAAUGCGUAGAUAUAGGAAGGAACAUCAGUGGCGAAGGCGACUACCUG